CGUAGUCGCCUGCUGCUUCCCGCAGCUGGCGGCGGCGGACACGAACGGCGUCUACGAGCCGUGCAGCGACGCACGGAUCCAGCGCGGGGAUGGCUUCACCUUCGGGGUGGUCUUCGCGGGAUACAACACCUUCUUCUCCGGCAACACACAGCUCUCCCCCUGCGACCGCCGCCUCAACCUCGCUGCCUCCGGGCAGCUCGCCCUCUUCCGCCCCAAGGUCGACGAGAUCUCCCUGCUCACCAUCAACACCACCACCGGAUUCAACC
rnacentral:lncRNA from 1 species